rnacentral:rRNA from 1 species
AUACGGAGGGUGCGAGCGUUAAUCGGAAUUACUGGGCGUAAAGCGCGCGUAGGCGGCUUUGUAAGUCGGAUGUGAAAGCCCUGGGCUCAACCCAGGAAUUGCAUUUGAAACUGCAUGUCUUGAGUGGUGGAGAGGGAAGCGGAAUUCCUGGUGUAGAGGUGAAAUUCGUAGAUAUUGGGAGGAACACCGGUGGCGAAGGCGGCUCUCUGGAACGAUACUGACGCUGAGACCCGAAAGCGUGGGGAGCAAACAGGAUUAGAAACCCCAGUAGUCC